AGCAUAUCAAUAAGCGGAGGAAAAGAAACCAACAGGGAUUGCCCUAGUAACGGCGAGUGAAGCGGCAACAGCUCAAAUUUGAAAUCUGGCUCUCUUUGGGGGUCCGAGUUGUAAUUUGCAGAGGAUGCUUUGGCAUUGGCGGCGGUCUAAGUUCCUUGGAACAGGACAUCGCAGAGGGUGAGAAUCCCGUACGUGGGCGCCUGCCUUUGCCGUGUAAAGCUCCUUCGACGAGUCGAGUUGUUUGGGAAUGCAGCUCUAAAUGGGAGGUAAAUUUCUUCUAAAGCUAAAUACCGGCCAGAGACCGAUAGCGCACAAGUAGAGUGAUCGAAAGAUGAAAAGUACUUUGGAAAGAGAGUCAAAAAGCACGUGAAAUUGUUGAAAGGGAAGCGCUUGCAGCCAGACUUGCCCGCAGUUGCUCACCUAGGCUUUGGCCUGGGGCACUCUUCUGCGGGCAGGCCAGCAUCAGUUUGGGCGGUUGGAUAAAGGCCUCUGUCACGUAUCUUCCUUCGGGAUGACCUUAUAGGGGAGGCGUAAUGCAACCAGCCCGGACUGAGGUCCGCGCAUCUGCUAGGAUGCUGGCGUAAUGGCUGUAAGCGGCCCGUCUUGAAACACGGACCAAGGAGUCUAACAUCUAUGCGAGUGUUUGGGUGUCAAGCCCGGGCGCGCAAUGAAAGUGAACGGAGGUGGGAACCCUUUGGGUGCACCAUCGACCGAUCCUGAUGUCUUCGGAUGGAUUUGAGUAAGAGCAUAGCUGUUGGGACCCGAAAGAUGGUGAACUAUGCUUGAAUAGGGUGAAGCCAGAGGAAACUCUGGUGGAGGCUCGCAGCGGUUCUGACGUGCAAAUCGAUCGUCAAAUUUGGGCAUAGGGGCGAAAGACUAAUCGAACCAUCUAGUAGCUGGUUCCUGCCGAGCCUCUCUCUCCUGAGAGUAAA
rnacentral:rRNA from 1 species